AAUAAGUGCAGCCAUAAGUUUUCGUGUUCAAUUUUGAUCGUCCGUCUUAUUUAAAAAUUUUUUAUGAUUAGCAUUUUUGUUGUUAUAAGAUUAUAAAAUAUGAAUAGUACUUUAUACGUGACUUAUAUUUUUAGGUUUUUUAAAAAAUUUAAAUAAGACGGACGAUCAAAGUUAGACAUAAAAACUCAUGGUUGCACUUAUU
rfam:Oryza meridionalis cultivar OR44 (W2112) chromosome 4, whole genome shotgun sequence.